UGCUGGAAAGGAUUCAAGAGUGAGCCACAGUAAAGUGAAAGCAAGUUGAUUUAGAGAGAUACACGUUCCAUAGACAGAAUUUGGUCCAUCUCAAGGAAGAGUGGCCCCAGGGCAUGGGGUCGUCUAGGAAAGUGAGAGUGGCCCUGGGGUGCUGGAGGUGGUUGGUCUUUAUGGGCUGGCUGAUUUCAUAUGUUGACAAGUGGGAGGACUUUUCUGUUAUUAAGAAA